GUAUGAACCAACUUACAUCCACUGCAGAUCAUUCUGACACAUCCUCUGAGCUCACCCCAAAAAUGUAAACUGAGUUGCUGCUGGAGUUGGAUUAUUUACCAUCCAAUGACUGUUUGGCAUUCCUAUGUUAGAGGAGAGGAAACUUAUUGACUCUCUGCAAGCAUGGAAAGUGCUCUUCAGUAUAUUGUAUGUUUUAAUAUGAAAGAGAACCUAGAUACAGGACCUCAGGAUCAGGAUGCAGCAAUUCGGAGGAGAGGCCUUGUAAUUGAAUGUUGUGGAUCACUGCCACCCACAAAAAACAACAAGCUCCACAUAUGCCUCCAAUUAACCCAUUGAUGACCUGAAUUAAGCAUAAGAUGAUUUCGAGUCCAGACAAACCCAAUAGGAUGGAGAAGAGGGUGACGUUCCA